GACGAACGCUGGCGGCGUGCUUAACACAUGCAAGUCGAACGGAAAGGCCCUGCUUUUGUGGGGUGCUCGAGUGGCGAACGGGUGAGUAACACGUGAGUAACCUACCCUUGACUUUGGGAUAACUUCAGGAAACUGGGGCUAAUACCGGAUAGGAGCUCCUGCUGCAUGGUGGGGGUUGGAAAGUUUCGGCGGUUGGGGAUGGACUCGCGGCUUAUCAGCUUGUUGGUGGGGUAGUGGCUUACCAAGGCUUUGACGGGUAGCCGGCCUGAGAGGGCGACCGGCCACAUUGGGACUGAGAUACGGCCCAGACUCCUACGGGAGGCAGCAGUGGGGAAUAUUGCACAAUGGGCGGAAGCCUGAUGCAGCAACGCCGCGUGCGGGAUGACGGCCUUCGGGUUGUAAACCGCUUUCGCCUGUGACGAAGCGUGAGUGACGGUAAUGGGUAAAGAAGCACCGGCUAACUACGUGCCAGCAGCCGCGGUGAUACGUAGGGUGCGAGCGUUGUCCGGAUUUAUUGGGCGUAAAGGGCUCGUAGGUGGUUGAUCGCGUCGGAAGUGUAAUCUUGGGGCUUAACCCUGAGCGUGCUUUCGAUACGGGUUGACUUGAGGAAGGUAGGGGAGAAUGGAAUUCCUGGUGGAGCGGUGGAAUGCGCAGAUAACAGGAGGAACACCAGUGGCGAAGGCGGUUCUCUGGGCCUUUCCUGACGCUGAGGAGCGAAAGCGUGGGGAGCGAACAGGCUUAGAUACCCUGGUAGUCCACGCUGUAAACGGUGGGUACUAGGUGUGGGGUCCAUUCCACGGGUUCCGUGCCGUAGCUAACGCUUUAAGUACCCCGCCUGGGGAGUACGGCCGCAAGGCUAAAACUCAAAGGAAUUGACGGGGCCCCGCACAAGCGGCGGAGCAUGCGGAUUAAUUCGAUGCAACGCGUAGAACCUUACCUGGGUUUGACAUGGAUCGGGAGUGCUCAGAGAUGGGUGUGCCUCUUUUGGGGUCGGUUCACAGGUGGUGCAUGGCUGUCGUCAGCUCGUGUCGUGAGAUGUUGGGUUAAGUCCCGCAACGAGCGCAACCCUUGUUCACUGUUGCCAGCACGUUAUGGUGGGGACUCAGUGGAGACCGCCGGGGUCAACUCGGAGGAAGGUGGGGAUGACGUCAAGUCAUCAUGCCCCUUAUGUCCAGGGCUUCACGCAUGCUACAAUGGCUGGUACAGAGAGUGGCGAGCCUGUGAGGGUGAGCGAAUCUCGGAAAGCCGGUCUCAGUUCGGAUUGGGGUCUGCAACUCGACCUCAUGAAGUCGGAGUCGCUAGUAAUCGCAGAUCAGCAACGCUGCGGUGAAUACGUUCCCGGGGCU
rnacentral:rRNA from 1 species